rnacentral:lncRNA from 14 species
GCCAAAGUUGCCCAGAGGGAGAGGAACACAAGUCUGAAGUAUGUCUUUUCUCCGGAGAACCAUGAUGAUCACUGAUUCUAGGUUGUGUCACGAUCACAGUCUGAAGCCAUCACGAAGCCGGCACGAGAUGGCUGCUUGCACAUGGCCCGGG